rnacentral:tRNA from 1 species
UAGAUGCUAGUCUAAAUAAGACAAAUGAUUUCGACUCAGUUAAUUGUGGUUUAAAUCCACAGCAUCUUU